CGGCGGACGGUGAGUAAUGCCUAGGAAUCUGCCUGGUAGUGGGGAUAACGUGGGAAACGGACGCUAAUACCGCAUACGUCCUACGGGAGAAAGCAGGGACCUUCGGGCCUUGCGCUAUCAGAUGAGCCUAGGUCGGAUUAGCUAGUUGGUGAGGUAAUGGCUCACCAAGGCGACGAUCCGUAACUGGUCUGAGAGGAUGAUCAGUCACACUGGAACUGAGACACGGUCCAGACUCCUACGGGAGGCAGCAGUGGGGAAUAUUGGACAAUGGGCGAAAGCCUGAUCCAGCCAUGCCGCGUGUGUGAAGAAGGUCUUCGGAUUGUAAAGCACUUUAAGUUGGGAGGAAGGGCAGUUACCUAAUACGUGAUUGUUUUGACGUUACCGACAGAAUAAGCACCGGCUAACUCUGUGCCAGCAGCCGCGGUAAUACAGAGGGUGCAGGCGUUAAUCGGAAUUACUGGGCGUAAAGCGCGCGUAGGUGGUUUGUUAAGUUGGAUGUGAAAUCCCCGGGCUCAACCUGGGAACUGCAUUCAAAACUGACUGACUAGAGUAUGGUAGAGGGUGGUGGAAUUUCCUGUGUAGCGGUGAAAUGCGUAGAUAUAGGAAGGAACACCAGUGGCGAAGGCGACCACCUGGACUGAUACUGACACUGAGGUGCGAAAGCGUGGGGAGCAAAC
rnacentral:rRNA from 1 species